AGACAGGACUGGAGAUGGCCACUGG
rnacentral:piRNA from 1 species